GACUACUACUUGGAACUGAAUACAUUGCACAAUAAUUGAUCGAUUUGUUUUCCAAAACUGCAACAGAUCUUUCACUGAAGAACCUGUACUUCCACCUAACCCAUGUGUGAGUCAGAGCUAUUGAGGUCUGGGUUUAUGCAAACCAGUAUGAGAGAAUCAGAGCUUGCUGUUAAAAAGUUGAAAUGAAUAAACCCACUGCAACACAAAUGAGGCCACCUCCUGUGAUGCCUCAACUGGGGCCGUUGAGACCAUUGCUGAUGGUGGAGAAGGACCUGACUGAUCAAAUGAUGACUGAAGCAAAAGGUCCAGGACAAGCUACAAUGACCAAGUUUGGUUAGAUUCCACUAGUAAUCCUAAUUUAAAAUGACAACAAUGAAUCUUGGAUAUUCAGAAAGAAGAAGAUAUAAUGAAGUCCAAAAUGCCCCAUUUGUUUUAAGAUGGUACUAAAUGAUGUAGUUUCUCCACUUGAUUACUACUCUUCAAAAGAACCACUAGUUAAAAUCAUCUUAGCAUAACUUUAAAAGACUUAAGUCUCAGCUAAAUACAUUAGAGAUCUGACAAGAAAAAAGAAAAGCAAAACACAAGUGCUUUGUGAUUUUCCCUCUCCAUACAUGAUGUUAAGAAAAAGGGUUUAGAACAAAAUAUCAAUAUAAAAUAAAUACAUAAAACAGAUUUGGCACCCAGAAAGGGGAACACUUGUGGCAUUUAAGAAGCUAUUAAGACUACAUGGAAGCUACAAUCUAACAUAUUUUGCCCACUCCCAAUUUAUAGGAUAUCUUUUUUAAGGUCCAAAAAGCAAAAUGAAAUGACUUCUUUCCAACUGAAAUAAAAAUCAAAAAUAGUGGCAACCAUUUUCUGAGAAAGGAAUUUUUUUAAAAACUGUAGAAAUUAUGCAGGGUUAAAAACGACAAUAAAACAUUAACAAGUUAAGUGUACCAGAACGUGUGAGUCA